ACCCCGGACUCCUUAUUCAAAGUACUUCCUGCUACAACGCCUCAGCAUGGGAAUCCAUCACGUCCACUCCUUGGAAUCCACUGCAUCGGUUUCCUCCUGCCCCCUCCACACAGUCCACCCCUUACACAGCAGCCACCCAGACAGCCUUAAAGUUCAUCGCUCUCCACUAUGCUAGAAGAGCAUGAAUACACCAUUGUGCUUUCUGUGGAGGAAAAGGCAGAAAAAAUGUCAAGUCCUUUACUGUUUGUGUUCAGCUGUGGACAAGGCUGGAUGUUUUUGUGGAAUGUUGAGGAUGACAGAGAAAGGAGGAAAGAGAGACAUAGAACACUCCAGGAACAAUAUUACAAGGCUGAGCCAAGCAGAGACUUGCUCAAAACACCAGGGGAAACCCUGCCAGGAC
rnacentral:lncRNA from 1 species